ACCGAGCGAAGCUGGUGCCAAGCCGUCCGCGGUGGCACCGGCAUCGCCGUCCUCGCCCUCCUAACCUCAAAACCCCCCGAUAUCCCCAAGCUCCAAACCUCCCUCCGCACCCUCCAAACCUCCCACCCAAUCCUCAGUUCCCGACUCCAAACCAACGCAACCACAUUCUCCUUCCUCACCUCCCCAACCCCCUCCAUCAAAAUCUUAACACUCACGCUCCCUACUAACCUCACCGACCCCCUGACCCAGAUCCUCGAACUCGAGCUCAACCGUAA
rnacentral:lncRNA from 1 species